CAGAUACAGGCAGGAGAUAAAAGCAAAGACACGUCAGGUUUAGAGAAAAAUAGACUGGGAAAACAAGGUUUGACUGUGACAGGGGACAGUACCGUCUAGUAGGAGGAACUGAGCUUGUCCCAGCGCGCCGUCUCGUUGUCUGGCUGACAGCCGGUAGACCACGGAGCCAGAUGUGGCAUCAGGACCCACGGCGCCCAGGUGUGUCAACACACUGAGAGCAGGAGAGGGAGGGGCGAAAGGAAGGUGAGGAG